GACGAACCGAGCGAACGUUGUUCGGAAUCACUGGGCUUAAAGGGCGCGUAGGCGGGUGCUCAAGUCCGUGGUGAAAUCCUCCGGCUCAACCGGAGAACUGCCUCGGAUACUGGGUGCCUCGAGGGUGGUAGGGGUAUGCGGAACUAUCGGUGGAGCGGUGAAAUGCGUUGAUAUCGAUAGGAACUCCGGUGGCGAAGGCGGCAUACUGGACCAACACUGACGCUGAGUGAGCGAAAGCGUGGGGAGCAAACAGG
rnacentral:rRNA from 1 species